ensembl:lncRNA
AAUGUCCAUCCCAUCCCUAUUCAGGUGGCCUUUGAAUUUGCUGAACUUAAUUAGAGCAAGUCAAGACACCAAUACUCAGACAUUAGCACUCAGCAUUAAUUAGCCAGAAACAAUGCCGUUCUUCUUACUGUGCAAAUCAGAGGACACCUUUGGAAAAGCUAAGAGGGACGAGCACAUCACUCUGUGCUUAAGAGAGCAGGCUACAAGACAACCAUCUUGGAGUUCCCGUCUAACCUUUUAUUUUUCCAAUUUUCAGAAAGAGCACGGCUUUUCUGCUGACCCUUACUAAGAAAUCAAAUAUCAAACCACCACUCCCACUGUGGACUGACAUCACUCCUUCUACCUUUUCAAAAAUCAAAAGAUGACAUGGGCUGUUCCUCAGAGCAAGCUUCCUCUGGAAAUGCCCAUCACACGAGCUGCUUUAAACAUUAUGGUGGCCUUCAAAUCACCCAAAUGGAAUCUUUUUGUCAAAUCCGUUUACUACGAAUUAUUCAAACCACCUAAAGAAUCUUUCCAAGAAUGUCCAUAUUAUGGUUUGUGAGCUGAGAUUAUGGAAACAGGAGGAAAAGGUACUUGGGUUUCCAUUCAGAAUCUCAGCAGUUUUACAGCGGACAAAAUAAUACAGGAAACAUGUUCUAUUUAUGAAAUCCACUGGGAAUACAUUUGUAAACAUAGUUUCAAAGAAAAUUCAUUAAAGCUGAGUCCUAAAUAUAAGUCAUCACGAGGCAGGGUCAAGUGAAUGUGCUACUUUUCAAAGGUUUGUGCAACAAAGGUUAAUUGGUCCCCUAUUAUGGGAACAGCAUGGUGCCAGGUAAUGGGAUCUACAAUGGUAAACAAAACAGAAACACCCCCUGCCCACUCAGAGCUGCUUCUGACAGAGUCAAGGUAGGUCUGGUGCUAGAACAUGACAGAGGCUGCCUAGGGGCUUCCUGCACGAUGCUGAAAUCCCAAAGGGCACAGCAGCGAUCAUCCGGGGAAUUGAGACGAAAGCAGAGAAAAGACAAGUCUGAACUAGGUGAACAGCCCUAGGAGGAACUGCUUCCAAGUCAUUCCACACUUUGCUUAUAAAUAUAAAACUAUGCAAAAACACUCAAAAGUAAAAACACUUUUCAAAAUCAAAGAAGAAAUAAUUAGCCAGAUCAUAGCUAAUGAGUUAUCCGAGCACACCCUUGGGAUAAAUUCAGGCCUUUUGGAUAAACAGUUUUCCUACACACUGAAAUGUUUUCUUAGUCAAGGGAAAAAGACUCAGGUUAUAUAACAUCCACCCUAUCUACCUCACCCUCAAACAUGGCUUAUUACAAAUAAGAGUCUGUUCUAGCAUUUCCCAAAAAUAUUUUGCAAAAAAUAGGACCUAUGGUAUUCCCACUGUGGUGCAGUGGGAUCAGAAGCAUCUUGGGAGCACUGGGACACAGGUUCAAUCCCUAGCCUGGUACAGUGAGUUAAGGAUCUGGCAUUGCUGCAGCUUCAGUUUAGGUUGCAACUGCAGUUCAGAUCUGAUCUUUGGCCCAAGAAUUCCGUAUACCUUGGGCUGUGCUGCGUGGGAAAUCACUUCUCUGUCAGCAAGGGCUUUGUAGUUAACAGAAUUAUUUCGUCAUCAUUAGGAUAAGAUGGCCUCUAUGCUCUUUAGUCCCCAAGCAAUAAUGAAAAUGCUCCCUGACAUAGUCCCAGCACCCAUGAGACUAGUUACCCAUCAUAAACCUUGACUUAGGAAUGUGUAUCUUAUUUCCAAGCAGCUACUUCCACACUCUAAGUUUAGCCAUAAAAUUAUCCCAAUAACCCCUUGGUGAUACAGAAAGUGGCUGUGAAUGCUUCUGGAGUGCUGUCCACCUGAUCCUGAUUUCACCCUGUGAGUAAAUUACCCUAUUAUAAAUGGAUCCAUUGAUUACAUGGAGCUGCCUGCUUCGUUUCUCAGUUUCAAGAUACACUCUCAGUUCGAUGGACACUUCAUUCCCUCUGCCCUCUAACAGAUGGGGUCACUCAGGGAAGUAGAGAUAGAAAGAGAGGAGGUGGAAAAGGUGAGCCCUGAGGGGAAAAAAAAAAAAAGCCCUGUAAUGUUUCAAGGUCAUGAAGAUGAGGAGGGACCAGAAAAGGAUGCUGAAAAGAAGGAGGAAAUAGCAGUAUCUGGGAAGCCACAUAAAGAAAGCAUCUCAAGAAGGAAGGCGUGAUCUUCCCUUAAAUGCCGCUAUGUGGACAAUAAAACAAGGACUGAAGAUGGACUACUGGAUGUGACAAAGUAGGAAGCCACUGGUGACCUGGAUAAGAAUAACUUUGUGGAAUGAUAAGGAGAAAAGCCUGAUCUGAGUAGAUCCAAGAGAAAACAGGAAACUCAACCACAAAAAACAAACAACCCAAUGAAAAAAGGACAAAGAACUAGAAUAGAUAUUCCUCCAAAGACACAGAAAUGGCCAAAAAGCACAUGCAAAGAUGUUCAGUAUCAUUACCCAUUAGGGAAAUGCAAAUCAAAACCGUAAUGAGAUACCGCUUCAUGUCUACUAGGGUGGCUAUUAAAAAAAAAAAAAAAAA